GUUAGCCAAAACAUGGAGGCUCCACCACCACAACUUUGAGAAAGUUGUUUGCCACCACCACAACUUUGCCACCACCAAAGAGGAAAGUGCAGCCCCAUUAACUUUGAGAAAGUUGGGAUGUGAGGUGGAAUCAACAAAUGGAGGCUAUAAAUAUGUGCAUCGCAGCAACUUGAAGUGUAUCCCAAAAUUCACAAAAGAAGUCUUGUGAAAGAAGUGCUAGAGAGUGAGAAAAUAUUGUGAGAGAAAACUUCAGUGUGGAAGUUAAACACGAGUGAUAAAAGUGAGUCGAGAGAUAGCCUCUGUGUAGGCAAGAUACAAAAUACAGUGUGGUAUUGUUGUACUCCUCAUUUUGUGAGAUUCUCUAAUAUAUUGGGGUGGGUCCGUGGACGUAGGCAGUUUGGCCGAACCACGUUAAAUAUCGGUGUCAUUAUUUUUCCCGUCUUAGAUAAUUUAUAUCUUUGAUAUUGCUUUC